AGUGGAGGGUGCGAGGAAGACAAUGGGGGAGGACCCUGAGGCGGCCUCUGUGAGCCGACAGGAACACGUGGUCGAUCAGAGAGAGACUCGAGGUUCGUGAACGGAUGGGGAGGACCCUGAAAAGCACUGUGGAAUACAGGUUUCUAGUAACUUCAAAAUCACAUCAUUUGGACUGGCUUCUUUGGGAUGUCCGCUCUGCAUAUCUACUAAGGAAUUAAGAAAUAAUGGCUUCAGCAAGAAACAAGGCAGGAAAGUGCAGUGACAUGAGGACCAUACAGGGAAGGAGCUGUCCCCAAAGGGUCUUUGUGACUUGUACCUUGUGCGGACCUCCUACUCAUCCUGUGACUAAGAACACUGAACUUCCUGGGGUUACAGCCCACAGGUCUCAGCCUCAUUUCAUCCAGCCCCUAUUCAAGAUGGAGUCGCUCUGGUUCAAAUGCCUCUGACACUAGUAAGGAUCACAGGUGGCAUCAACAGGUUUGGAGCAAACCUGAGUGUCUCCCGGUUGGUCACAUCUCAACUGACGAAAUCCACGACCAGCAGAGAGCAGCCUCCUUGCCCCCUGUGCUCACUGAGUCAUCCAGCCCAUUUUGACCAAGAUUAUGUGAGUUGCUGGAGCAGAGGUUGGUUGAGGGAGCUCCCACUGUAUGUAAUCACCGUGUCUUGCACAAAAUAAAUAGAAAACACAAGA
ensembl:lncRNA LINC03015 long intergenic non-protein coding RNA 3015